rnacentral:rRNA from 1 species
AAUCAACGCUGGCGGCGUGCCUCAGACAUGCAAGUCGAACGCGAAAGUUCCCUUCGGGGGAUAAGUAGAGUGGCGUCCGGGUGAGUAACACGUAGGUAAUCUACCUUUGGGUGGGGAAUAACAACCGGAAACGGUUGCUAAUACCGCAUAAUGCAGCGGCACCACAUGGUGACAGUUGUUAAAGCGGGGGGAUCGCAAGACCUCGCGCCUAAAGAGGAGCCUGCGGCGGAUUAGCUAGNGGUAGGGUAACGGCCUACCAAGGCAACGAUCCGUAGCCGGCCUGAGAGGGCGGGUCGGCCACACUGACACUGAAAUACGGGUCAGACUCCUACGGGAGGCAGCAGUCGGGAAUUUUGGGCAAUGGGCGAAAGCCUGACCCAGCAACGCCGCGUGAAGGAUGAAA